UGAAUUUGAUUAAUGAAUUUAUAUCCCUAGGAUCAGUCGUUUUAUUUAUCUAUUUUUUUUAUUUGAUUUUAUUUGUUUUGUCUUGAGUUUAGUUUUUAUUCUCCUUCAUAUUUUUGGUUGCCUGAAUAUUGUUAUAGGAAUUAUUAGGAUUACUUAGAGUAAUUUCAUUUAUCAGUCCAUGUGGAUACGAUACUCGGUUACUGAUUAAUUGCUACAAUUGCACCGUGGUAGUUGCGGUAUUUGUUGCUAAGAAAUUAGUGAUCAACUUUUUGGCGCCGUUGCCGGGGACUGUGUAGAAUUUACUUUAAUAUUUCUGAUAGGACUUAGGCAUUAUUUCAGGC
rnacentral:lncRNA from 1 species